GGCAGACAUCUCAUCAUAAAGCAAGCUAGUUUUGCUCUGGGCUGGAAGGACCUCAACCUGCUCUAUACAUUCUCCGCAGGGGGAAGAGAAAUAAGGACUUAAAUCUGCUCUGAAGGCCAAGAUCUCUAGAGCUUUCCCUGGAAGUCAGCUUCAAAGGAAGGAACAGUAAAAGGAUUUGAGGAAAGAGACAUGUGCUUGGAUGGUGGGGACCCCGCGGGGGUUUCAUAGGAAAAGAUUUGUUCCCGGCGGGCCUGAUGCUGUGACAGCUUCCAGCGGUGGUGAGCUGGCUGGGGAGACAGGAGGCUGCGUACCGAAAAGAGAGGGUGAGAGGAGCCGCCUGCCCAAGCAGCAGCUGGUGAGAAGGCGACUGGGCUGCACAGCGUCAGCGCACACGUGGCCGGUGGGGAAGCGUGAGCCCAGCUUCAAUCCUUGUCAAUGGCACCUCGUUGACUUUUAGCGCUUCCUUAUCGUGUCUGCGCUCACCUCGUAGCGGCACUGAUAAAAUGCCAUCGCCGGUGUAAUCUCCCGAGCAGCCCCUGCGGAGAACGUUGCAGAGCAUGGGAGGCUGAAUCGCCUGCAGCCAGCGACCGGCGUGGGACCUCGCUCCAGAGCAAGGUAACAAAGAAACGGCCCUAACCUGGGACAAGGCGAGGACGGAAUAACCUCCUAGGUUUAUGGAACACCACCUGUGCCGGUAACAUUGGCACGGCAGCAGGUGAUUUUUGUGUAGAAGAACAAAUGUAGAAGAACUUUUGCGGAAGUUGGGAUAGCUGUUACUUCUCACUGCCUGGUGGAGUUGGACAUGUAAGCCGUGUGAAGUGAUUGCAGUAUGUCAGUACCUAGAGCUAUAAACACUGGAGUUAUGAUAAUGGGGAAGGAAUGCACAGUGGGUUUUUGUUGUCUUUUUUCCAGAAAUAACUUACUUCUCUCUCUUGCGGUAUUGAGGACCUAAGUUCUUGUAAAAAUCUUAAUUGUCACUAAAAGAGGGUGUUAAUUUUUCAACAGGUAACUGCUACCUGUAGGCCUAUGGCAAUUUUUAAGCUACCUUUAAUUUUUUUUUUUUUUUUUUUUUUUUUUUUUUUUUUUUUUUUUUUUUUUUUUUUUUUUUACAGGCAAGCAACUUGGAAUGACAGACUUGGGAGAGUCCUCUUUAUAGGUUUGUAAUAAGGACCCCUGAAUAUAAAACCAUAAGCAACUACUGAGCAGGUAUGUCAUUUUUGGAACCUGUAACUGAUGCCAAACUGGUGUACAGUAUCUUGCCACUAGAGGAUAACAACAAAAUCUGUCAUGGAACUGGCUGGAAAGAAGAAUUUUCCUUCUGAGUGAGAAAUUUGGAUGUUUAAGAAUGCAUUUUUAAUUUUUUUUUUUAUUUUUUUAUUUUUUAAAAAAUAAAUGGGAUCCUACACUUAGUGUCCUUCUUCCU
rnacentral:lncRNA from 1 species